UCCGUAGGUGGAUAAUUAAGUCAGAGGUGAAAUCCUGCAGCUCAACUGUAGAAUUGCCUUUGAUACUGGUUAUCUUGAGUUAUUAUGAAGUAGUUAGAAUAUGUAGUGUAGCGGUGAAAUGCAUAGAUAUCACAUAGAAUACCAAUUGCGAAGGCAGAUUACUAAUAAUCAACUGACACUGAUGGACGAAAGCGUGGGGAGCGAACAGGAUUAGAUACCCUGGUAGUCC
rnacentral:rRNA from 1 species